rnacentral:rRNA from 1 species
CCUGUAAGGGGAGUGAAAUAGAACCUGAAACCGUGUACGUACAAGCAGUGGGAGCACCUUCGUGGUGUGACUGCGUACCUUUUGUAUAAUGGGUCAGCGACUUACAUUCAGUGGCAAGCUUAACCGAGUAGGGAAGGCGCAGGGAAACCGAGUCCGAACAGGGCGAUUUCAGUCGCUGGGUGUAGACCCGAAACCAAGUGAUCUAUCCAUGGCCAGGAUGAAGGUGCCGUAACAGGUACUGGAGGUCCGAACCCACUACUGUUGCAAAAGUAGGGGAUGAGCUGUGGAUAGGGGUGAAAGGCUAAACAAACCUGGAAAUAGCUGGUUCUCUCCGAAAACUAUUUAGGUAGUGCCUCAAGUAUCACCAUCGGGGGUAGAGCACUGUUAUGGCUAGGGGGUCAUCGCGACUUACCAAACCAUUGCAAACUCCGAAUACCGAUGAGUGCGAGCUUGGGAGACAGACGUCGGGUGCUAACGUCCGGCGUCAAGAGGGAAACAACCCAGACCGCCAGCUAAG